rnacentral:rRNA from 1 species
AUUGAACGCUGGCGGCAUGCUUUACACAUGCAAGUCGAACGGUAACAGGCCGCAAGGUGCUGACGAGUGGCGAACGGGUGAGUAAUGCAUCGGAACGUGCCCAGUCGUGGGGGAUAACUACUCGAAAGAGUAGCUAAUACCGCAUACGAUCUAUGGAUGAAAGCGGGGGACCGUAAGGCCUCGCGCGAUUGGAGCGGCCGAUGUCAGAUUAGGUAGUUGGUGGGGUAAAGGCUCACCAAGCCAACGAUCUGUAGCUGGUCUGAGAGGACAACCAGCCACGCUGGGACUGAGACACGGCCCAGACUCCUACGGGAGGCAGCAGUGGGGAAUUUUGGACAAUGGGCGCAAGCCUGAUCCAGCAAUGCCGCGUGCAGGAAGAAGGCCUUCGGGUUGUAAACUGCUUUUGUACGGAACGAAACGGCUCUGGUUAAUACCCGGGGCUAAUGACGGUACCGUAAGAAUAAGCACCGGCUAACUACGUGC